UACAGAGGUCUCAAGCGUUGUUCGGAUUCAUUGGGCGUAAGGGGUGCGUAGGUGGCGCCGUAAGUCAGGUGUGAAAUCUCGGGGCUUAACUCCGAAACUGCAUUUGAUACUGCGGUGCUUGAGGACUGGAGAGGAGACUGGAAUUUACGGUGUAGCAGUGAAAUGCGUAGAGAUCGGGAGGAACACCUGUGGCGAAGGCGGCCCCCUGGGCCGGCCCUGACACUGAGACGCGAAGGCGUGGGGAGCGAACGGG
rnacentral:rRNA from 1 species